rnacentral:rRNA from 1 species
GAUGAACGCUGGCGGCGUGCCUAAUACAUGCAAGUCGAGCGAACAGACGAGGAGCUUGCUCCUCUGACGUUAGCGGCGGACGGGUGAGUAACACGUGGAUAACCUACCUAUAAGACUGGGAUAACUUCGGGAAACCGGAGCUAAUACCGGAGAAUAUAUUGAACCGCAUGGUUCAAUAGUGAAAGACGGUUUUGCUGUCACUUAUAGAUGGAUCCGCGCCGCAUUAGCUAGUUGGUAAGGUAACGGCUUACCAAGGCGACGAUGCGUAGCCGACCUGAGAGGGUGAUCGGCCACACUGGAACUGAGACACGGUCCAGACUCCUACGGGAGGCAGCAGUAGGGAAUCUUCCGCAAUGGGCGCAAGCCUGACGGAGCAACGCCGCGUGAGUGAUGAAGGUCUUCGGAUCGUAAAACUCUGUUAUUAGGAAAGAACAAAUGUGUAAGUAACUAUGCACGUCUUGACGGUACCUAAUCAGAAAGCCACGGCUAACUUCGUG